GGAAGUAAAAGGUAACAAGGUUUCCGUAGGUGAACCUGCGGAAGGAUCAUUAUUGGAUUUUGAAACUUCAGGCUGCUGCUGGCUCUCCUCGGAGGGCAUGUGCACGCUUGUUGUCCAUUAUUCCUCCCACUGUGCACAAAUUGUAGACCUUUCAGUAGGCCUAUGUUGUUUUUCACAAUCUCUGAAUGUAAUAGAAUGGUUUUGAAUCUUGGGAAAUACAAUACAACUUUCAGCAACGGAUCUCUUGGCUCUC
rnacentral:misc_RNA from 1 species